GGUUGGGGGGGCAUAACCCCGUGGGC
rnacentral:tRNA from 1 species